rnacentral:lncRNA from 1 species
GGGAGACUUGACAGAGGAGGGGACAGUGGCCUGCAGAGCAGAAGAGCCUGCCGAAGGUUGCUGGGCAGCAGUGGCAGGUGGGGCCCAGCAACAGUCCUCUAUCUCAUCUCACCAUAGUGGCCUUGUGAGGGGGAAACAGCUCCUGAAGAUGGGGUGAGCCCCAGGCUGGGCCUGCCAGGCUGUGAGUUCAGGCCAGCGCCACCCAAGGCCCUUGCUGGCCACAGUGUGGAGAGGGCCCUGGAGUGCGGACACUAGCCAAUGAAGGACCUGUCGGGUGGUAUGGGUGUGCAGAACUGCUGCAGACCGGGGCCCUCCCCCUCCCUGUCACAGCCUGCAGAAGGGACCUUGGGUGGUGGGAAUGGAGGCCUCCAGAGCCAGGCAGGGUGGGUGCGGGGCUCUCCCGCCAGGCAACAAGAGGCUGGCCCGGGUGAGCACUGAGCUUGGCUCCCCUGAGCCGGGGCAGGGCAGUCCCUCCCCUGUGAGGAAGCCAGGGGUGAGGUGGCAUGUUCUGAGGCCCCCAUCCUCCUGCUCAGUUGGCCCGGAGAGCAGCCAGUGCAGCUGACUGCCCGGGGAUGCCAGCUGGGCCAGGGGUCAGGUGGCCCAAGGCCUGGAAAGGCUCUGCCCGGGCCUGGAGACUGUCACCACCACCCAGCUCACACAGUGGGGCCACACAAGCUGCAUGCCAUGUCAUUGUCACAAUGCCCCAAGGCCAUAUCACUGUCCCCGUGCACAGAUGGAGUCAGAGGUCCAGAGGAACCAGCCUGAGGUUCCCCGGGGGCACAUGGCAGCUCUGGGAUGACCCUGGGCUCUUCACCUCUGCACUGAGCCUGAGCAGGUCACACAGGCUGGGAGCCCUGGGGUGUCCCCUCACCCUUCCUGGGGAGGGGAUUGCUGGGUGAGCCUCCCACCAAGGGCAGUAGGUGGCAGGAGCACAAAACCGUCUGCUCUGACACUUCUGCCAGCGAGCUCCCCCUUGCUACCCGAGGAUGGCAUAGGUGGGUGUGGCCAAAGGGAUGCUGCUCUUCUGUAGAAAAGGCCCUUGUCCUAUAGCCCCACCGCCCAGGGCUCUGGCCCUUGGUCUUCUCUGGGUCCUCCCCCUCCUGUCUAAUUGGGGCUGUCCACCCCUCCGCUGUUCUCGGCCCACCGUGGGCUUGUAUGCUGGCAGGCAUGGCUGGCUCCUAGCAGCAUGGCCUCCAGUCCUCCACGGGAGCUUGCUCCUGGCACUGCUGCUGCCGUGGCCCAGGAAACUGGCCUGUGUGCCUCGCCUCAUCUAUUUUUAAGCACAGGCGCAUGAAAGAUUCACAGGCUGCUUUAUUUACAGGUGGCAGGGAUAGUGUCGGUCCCCUGAGGUUCGUCCACCGAGAGGCCUGAGGGGCGCGCAGGCCCCAGAGCCCACCUGAGUCUGGGCACUGCCUCCCUCCCUCCCUCCCGCUCCAGGCUGGCUUUGCUCUCCUCCACAGGAGCCUGGACUCCUGGAGCUGCCCACCCUCUGGCCCUGGCCCUGGGAGGGGCUGAGGUGCCCUCCCCUCCCAGGAGUGCAUCCCGAGAGCACCUCUUGGGCAGGUCUGGAGGAGGGGCAGGGUCACAAGGUUCUGCCUCAGAGAGCCCAGGGCAGCUG